AGAACGAACGCUGGCGGCAGGCUUAACACAUGCAAGUCGAACGGUUGUAGCAAUACAGCAGUGGCAGACGGGUGAGUAACACGUGGGAACCUUCCUAGGGGUACGGAACAACUCAGGGAAACUUGAGCUAAUACCGUAUACGUCCGUGAGGAGAAAGAUUUAUCGCCCUUAGACGGGCCCGCGUAGGAUUAGGUAGUUGGUGGGGUAAUGGCCUACCAAGCCUACGAUCCUUAGCUGAUCUGAGAGGAUGAUCAGCCACACUGGGACUGAGACACGGCCCAGACUCCGUACGGGAGGCAGCA
rnacentral:rRNA from 1 species